rnacentral:rRNA from 1 species
UACGGGGGGAGCAAGCGUUGUUCGGAUUUACUGGGCGUAAAGGGCGCGUAGGCGGCCACCGCAAGUCGACUGUGAAAUCUCCGGGCUUAACUCGGAAAGGUCAGCCGAUACUGCGGGGCUAGAGUGCAGAAGGGGCAACUGGAAUUCUCGGUGUAGCGGUGAAAUGCGUAGAUAUCGAGAGGAACACCUGCGGCGAAGGCGGGUUGCUGGGCUGACACUGACGCUGAUUGUGCGAAAGCGUGGGGAGCAAACAGG